CCAUAGUNCACUUUGGAAACUGUUUAACUUGAGUGCAGAAGGGGAGAGUGGAAUNCCAUGUGUAGCGGUGAAAUGCGUAGAUAUAUGGAGGUACACCGGUGGCGAAAGCGGCUCUCUGNUCUGUAACUGACGCUGAGGCUCGAAAGCGUGGGGAGCGAACAGGAUUAGAUACCCUGGUAGUNCACGCCGUAAACGAUGAGUGCUAGGUGUUAGGCCCUUUCCGGGGCUUAGUGCCGCAGCUAACGCAUUAAGCACUCCGCCUGGGGAGUACGACCGCAAGGUUGAAACUCAAAGGAAUUGACGGGGGCCCGCACAAGCGGUGGAGCAUGUGGUUUAAUUCGAAGCAACGCGAAGAACCUUACCAGGUCUUGACAUCCCGAUGCCCGCUCUAGAGAUAGAGUUCUACUUCGGUACAUCGGUGACAGGUGGUGCAUGGUUGUCGUCAGCUCGUGUCGUGAGAUGUUGGGUUAAGUCCCGCAACGAGCGCAACCCUUAUUGUUAGUUGCCAUCAUUCAGUUGGGCACUCUAGCGAGACUGCCGGUAAUAAACCGGAGGAAGGUGGGGAUGACGUCAAAUCAUCAUGCCCCUUAUGACCUGGGCUACACACGUGCUACAAUGGCUGGUACAACGAGUCGCAAGUCGGUGACGGCAAGCUAAUCUCUUAAAGCCAGUCUCAGUUCGGAUUGUAGGCUGCAACUCGCCUACAUGAAGUCGGAAUCGCUAGUAAUCGCGGAUCAGCACGCCGCGGUGAAUACGUUCCCGGGCCUUGUACACACCGCCCGUCACACCACGAGAGUUUGUAACACCCGAAGUCGGUGAGGUAACCUUUUAGGAGCCA
rnacentral:rRNA from 1 species